rnacentral:rRNA from 1 species
AGGGUUUGAUCAUGGCUCAGAACGAACGCUGGCGGCGUGCCUAACACAUGCAAGUCGAACGGUAACAGUCCUUCGGGAGCUGACGAGUGGCGCACGGGUGAGUAACGCGUGGAUAUCUACCUAUUGGUGGGGGACAACUACGGGAAACCGUAGCUAAUACCGCAUACGACCUACGGGUGAAAGCGGGGGAUUCUUUCGAGAACCUCGCGCCGAUAGAUGAGUCCGCGUCUGAUUAGCUAGUUGGUAGGGUAAAGGCCUACCAAGGCGAUGAUCAGUAACUGGUUUGAGAGGAUGAUCAGUCACACUGGAACUGAGACACGGUCCAGACUCCUACGGGAGGCAGCAGUGGGGAAUUUUGCACAAUGGACGAAAGUCUGAUGCAGCGACGCCGCGUGCGGGAAGAAGGCCUUAGGGUUGUAAACCGCUUUCAAUUGGGAAGAAGAGAAGAAGGUUAAUAACUUUCUGAUUUGACGGUACCUUUAGAAGAAGCACCGGCUAAUUUCGUGCCAGCAGCCGCGGUAAUACGAAAGGUGCAAGCGUUGUUCGGAUUUACUGGGCGUAAAGAGAUCGUAGGUGGUUUGUUAAGUUGGAUGUGAAAUCCCGGGGCUCAACCUCGGAACUGCAUCCAAAACUGGCAGACUAGAGUUCGGGAGGGGUAAGCGGAAUUCCGUGUGUAGCAGUGAAAUGCGUAGAUAUACGGAGGAACACCAGAGGCGAAGGCGGCUUACUGGACCGAUACUGACACUGAGGAUCGAAAGCGUGGGUAGCAAACAGGAUUAGAUACCCUGGUAGUCCACGCCCUAAACGAUGUCAACUAGUCGUUGCGGGUAUUGACCCCUGCAGUGACGCAGCUAACGCAUUUAGUUGACCGCCUGGGGAGUACGGUCGCAAGAUUAAAACUCAAAGGAAUUGACGGGGGCCCGCACAA